rnacentral:ribozyme from 1 species
AAGAACAAGAAAGUGGGAGAGAGACAAAGUGGAAUUAUGCGUUGAAAGUAACGUCAGAUUUUUCUGUAGCCCCCCUUAAUUGUUAUGUCUCUCUCUCUUCCCCCCUGCCUUCCUCCUCUGUUGAAAGUUUGAUUGGGUCUGCUUGCUGAAUUCACUGCACCAUGCAGUGAAGAAAAGAAAAGAAAAGAAAAGGA